UCCCCGUUAUCCGAGGCGGUGUCCCGUGAAAAUACAACACGGAACGGGGGUUGCGCUCGUUAUCCGACUUAACGGUACAUCUCACGACACGAGCUGACGGCAACCAUGCAGCACCUGUGUAGCACCCUCGAAGGCGGCCACUGUUUCCAGCGGCUUGCAGCUACAUGUCAAACCUGGGUAAGGUUUUUCGCUUACCGUCGAAUUAAACCACAUGCUCCUCCGCUUGUGCGGGUCCCCGUCUAUUCCUUUGAGUUUUAGUCUUGCGACCGUACUUCCCAGGCGGGAUGCUUAAUGCGUUAGCUUUUUUAACCGACACUGGGAGGGUCGAUACUCCCAAUAUCUAGCAUCCAUCGUUUAGGGCGUGGACUA
rnacentral:misc_RNA from 1 species